AUUGAACGCUGGCGGCAUGCCUAACACAUGCAAGUCGAACGAGUGGCGGACGGGUGAGUAAUUUCUGGGAAACUGCCUGAUGGAGGGGGAUAACUACUGGAACCGGUAGCUAAUACCGCAUACCCUCAGAUGUGCCCAGAUGGGAGUAGCUUGUUGGUGGGGUAACGGCUCACCAAGGCGACGAUCCCUAGCUGGUCUGAGAGGAUGACCAGACAGACUGGAACGGAGACACGGUCCAGACUCCGACGGGAGGCAGCAGUGGGGAAUAUUGCACAAGGGGCGCAAGCCUGAUGCAGCCAUGCCGCGUGUAUGAAGAAGGCCUUCGGGUUGUAAAGUACUUUCAGCGGGGAGGCGUUACCCGCAGAAGAAGCACCGGCUAACUCCGUGCCAGCAGCCGCGGUAAUUC
rnacentral:rRNA from 1 species